rnacentral:rRNA from 1 species
UACGUAGGGUGCGAGCGUUAAUCGGAAUUACUGGGCGUAAAGGGCGCGUAGGCGGCCCGCGCAAGCGUGCGGUGAAAGCCCGGGGCUCAACCCCGGGUCGGCCGUGCGGACUGCGGGGCUCGAGCACUGUAGGGGCAGAUGGAAUUCCGGGUGUAGCGGUGGAAUGCGUAGAGAUCCGGAAGAACACCGGUGGCGAAGGCGGUCUGCUGGGCAGUAGCUGACGCUGAGGCGCGACAGCGUGGGGAGCAAACAGG